GUUUCUCUCUGAGGGAGGAGUAGUCGUCACCAAUGGUGACUGUUAGUGAGGGGUACUCUUUUGUGGUUUUGUGUGAGCUCCAUCACCUACUAUGAUAGAGUUUUUAGAGUUGUUUUCUGUUCCUUCUCUUUUUCCUUUCUUGACUAUGGCAGAAGGGGAGGGCAGCUCCUGAAAUUCCAAGAAGAGGUUGCAUCUUGUCUGAAAAUCUCCGUCAGUAGCGAGACGGACAGGUGGUGCUCUAAUCGAGAAAAUAUUUUUCAAGAGAAAGCAAAAUCGUCAAUCGGUCCUCUAUGUCAUUCAAGAUUGAUGGGGCUUGAAAGAAGGUGAGGAUGUUGAUGCCAUAAAUGCUGGUAUUCCGAAUAUCUUCAUUUUUCAUUGUGAAUCUUUUGAGAACAGAGAGCGCAUUCUGUGUGGACGCCUAUGGUUAGUUCACUCUUGCAUUAUGAGUCUACAAUUAUAAGACGACUAUUCGACAGUUGAGGAAGUUAAUUUUAAUCUUGUUCCAUUCUGGGUUCAAUUCCAUAAUCUUCCCAAUGCAACUUUGUGUCUAGAAAAUGCCAUUCAUAUGGGUUCUCAAGUGGGGGAUAUCGUCUGGGUUAAACACCCUGAGCCUAAGGGAAGAAUAUUGUGUAAUUUUCUUCAUGUUCAAAUUCUCAUUGACACUACUAAGCCUUUGCUUCCUGGUUUAUGGUCUACUAAGCCUAAUAGCUCUGAUUUCUGGAUCAAAUAUGAACAGUUAUAAAGUUUUUGCUUUUGUUGUGGUAUUAUUGGCCACGAUAGUCGUAACUAUCGUAGUCAACCUCCUAUUCUAAGGGAGGAAGAUAAAAAAUAUUGGUAUGGAUCUUGGCUUUCAACUUUAGCAGCUAAGCUAAUUGAUGCUAAUCUGAUUCAUUUUAAGGAAGAAUGGACUGAGAAAGAUAGUAGGAGGAAGAUGGUGGCGCGUGCCAAUUCAAAGCCAAAACUGUUACUCUGACAUAGCAGAAUGUCCCCUCCAUGUUAGUAGUGGUAAUGAACGUAAAUCAAGUAUGGAAUCUGCCCCCUGCCACAUCAUCCGAAACCACCGAAACUCAGAUCAUCCUCAUUUGAGCCCUACCAUUUCUAAGCCUAUUCUUAUGACUCAUAAUCCUCCUCUCAAUAUUGGGCCAAGGUCUGUUGAAGAUAUUGGGCCAUCCUUUUUGGUAUCAAAAGUUACUUUGUCUAAUGACAGGUCAAUCACCCCUGGUAGAAGAAUUAAAAGUCUACGGAGCCCAUUCAAGAAAAGUCUAAAUACUGUUGAAUCUGGUAAUUCUAAGGCCAUUAUCCCGUAUGUUCCUGUAUCCCUGUUAACUAAAGUAUCAAUAAAGCUCAAACGUGUGGACUUGUAACAUGACUUUGAGGUCACGGAUGCUAGUAGACCCCUGAAAAGGUGAAAUUUAUUUUUGGAACCUAUUGAUGCUAGCACAGAUACCCCUGAAACUCAUUCAAAUCUGAAGCCCAAAAGUCUCGAUAUUGUGUUAAAACUUCAAGUAGAGCUAGAAACAGAUCAUCCUCUCUUUCAAAAUGUGUGAAUGAUUCUACUAUUGGAGAUGACAAUCUGGUUAAUGUCCCUAUUGCGGUUGAGAUCGACUUGCUUAAGGAUUGGUUCAAGUUUAACUCUAACUCAGAUGGUUCUAUCUCCACUUCUCUUGCUGAAGGCUCCGGUGGCUUGCCUCAUAAAGCCACUAAGGGGCCAUGAAUCUAUUAUCGUGGAACUGCCAAGGGCUUGGAAAACCUUUGGCAAUAAAAAACCUCAAGGAGGUUAUUUCUAAAAAUAAGCCAGCACUUGUUUUUCUCAUGAAGACUAAGCAACGGGCAUCUUAUCUAGAUCGCAUUAAAAAAAAGUUGUGAUAUGAAGAAUGCAUGGUACGUGGAUCCAUUAGGACUCUCAGGGGGCCUAACCCUUUGGUGGAAGAAUGAUGUAUCUUGUCAACUUUUAUCCUCUUGUAAAAAUUAUAUUCAUUUAGCUUUGGCCUCCAUGGUAUAGUAGGUUCCCACUUUUGUCUCAUGUAUAUAUAGCCCUCCUGUUGAGUCAGACUGAAAACUGAUUUGGAAUGAGAUCGGUCAAUGGGCUAAGGGGGUAAAUGGUUCCUGGUUAUGCAUUGGUGAUUUUAAUAACUUAUUUUCAUUGGCUGAAAAAUUAGGAGGCAACCCCCACCCAAUUAAAAGAGUUUUAAACUUCCAAAUUUUUGCAACAAACUAUGAUUUGGUUGAUUUGGAAAUUAAGGGUUCUUGAUUCACCUGGUGUAAUCAGAGGGUUAAUGAGAAUUGUGUUAAAGAAAGAAUUGAUCGGGCUAUGGCUAACUCAGCAUUCAGGGAGUCUUUCCCUAAAUCUUUGGCUAUCCAUGUUGAUCCAGUUGCCCUAAAUCACCAUUUCCUGCUUGUCUGCUUGUGCUAUCAAGAUAGAAUAACUCCCUAGGCCUUCAAGUAUGAAAUUAAUUGGGCUUCUCAUCCUGAUUUUAAAAAUAUUGUUAAAAAUUCUUGGUAUAUUGAAGACCCUUUAUCCUAACUGGUCCCUUAAUUCAUCUCUUGUACUAAAAGUUACAAUCGUGCUUUAGUUAAAUGGGGUAGAAAGGCCUUCCCUAAUAAUAGGAAGGAAAUAGAUCGUACUCUACAGCAGCUUGCAAAUCUUAAUGAAGGUAUUCUCACCUCUAAGAUCAAAGAAGAGAUUUCUUCUCUUACUAAGGAUCUGGAAAGACUAUGGAAACUUGAAGAAUCUUACUGGUGGUAGAGGUCUCGGGUUAGCUGGAGGUGAUCUUAAUACUCAUUUCUUCCAUGCUUCAACCAAAACUAGAAGGCAAAGAAAUCAAAUUGUUAAAUUGCGUGAUAGCUCUGGCCAAUGGUUUGAUUUUAAGCAAGAAGUGGCUAGCCUAAUCUCUGACUUUUAUCAAGACCUCUUCACUAAGAGUCACAUUCAGGAUCUUAAUCUUAUUUUAAGCUAUAUCCAACCCUGUAUUAAUGAUUCUCAGAACGACUAGUUAAUUUCAUCCAUUACUAGAGAAGAACUCAAGCAAGCUGUCUUCUAACUUGAGGGAUCCAAAGCUCCGGGGCCUGACAGAUUUAAUGGUCACUUUUAUCAAUCUUCUUGGGAGGAGGUCAGUGACUCUCUUUUUCUGCUUGUUAAUAAUAUUCUGUUUAAAGAUAAAGAUCCUGGCUCCCUGAAUGAAAUAAAUUUGACUCUUAUACCUAAGAUUGAAAGGCCUGAAACGAUUAGCCAAUUUAGGCCUAUAAGUCUUUGUAAUUUUGCCUUCAAAGCCCUCUCAAAAGUCUUGGCCAACAGAUUUAAGGGUAUUUUGGGCAACUGUGUUUCUGAAAGUCAAAGGGAUUUUGUCCUUAGCUGGCUUAUCCAUGAUAAUAUCAUCCUAGUGCAUGAGGUGUUUCAUUUUUUAAAAAUGCAUAGAGCGCGAAAUGACUGUUUCUUUGCCUUUAAAAUGUAUAUGAAUAAAGCUUUCGACCGGCUAGAAUGGGAUUUCAUUGAGGCUGUCUUAGCCAAGAUGGGAUUUUAUAAAACUUGGAUAAAAUGGAUUAUGAAAUGUGUGAUGUGUCCCGCUUUUAAUAUUCAAGUUUCUAGUAAAAACAUUGCUCACAUUUAGCCAGAAAGAGGGGUGAGGCAAGGUGACCUACUAUCUCUAUACCUCUUCAUAAUUGCUACCAAUAUGUUAUCUCUUAUGCUAAGUAAGCAUACUACAAAUGGUGACUUAACAGGAAUCAAAAUUACUGAUGAAUGCCCAAUGUUGACUCAUUGCCUGUUUGCUGAUGACACAAUUUUAUUUCUUCAUGCUGAUAGAAAAAAUUACAGCAUCAUUAAAGAGCUCCUUCAAUCCUAUUGCAACACUUCAGGUUAGCGUAUUAAAUAUGAUAAGUCAUCAUUAUUUUUCUCUGCAAAUACUACAUAAGUUGUUAAGGAUGAAGUUUAUUCUUUCCUUCAUGUUAAUGCUGUGGAUAAUCCAGGCUCAUAUUUAGGCUUACCAAUUUUAUGGGGGCUUUCAAAAGUUGCUGCUCUUGCCUUUGUGAGGGACAAAGUGGGCAACAAAGUUCACAACUAGAAAAGUCAAUUUCUUUCCUUUGCUUGGUAGAGAAGUUAUGAUAAAGUCCGUAAUUAAUGCUAUCCCUAUUUAUCCUAUGACUUGUUUCAAAUUUCCUAGGAAGACAUGUACUGAAUUGAACAGUCUUGUUGCUAAUUUCUUUCGGGGGCAGUCUGAUUCUAGGAAUUCCAUUCAUUGGAAAGCUUGGAGCAAACCAUGUGCCCCAAAGAAGGACGGGGGCCUUGGUUUUCAUGACUUUAUGAAUUUUAAUGAUGCGCUUCUAGCCCAAACAGCAUGGCGAGCAUUGUAGAACCCUAGUCAAUUAUGGGUACAAGUUCUUAAGGCAGUCUAUUUUCCUACUAGUUCCUUCCUUCAGGCUAAAAAAGGGCCACGAGCCUCAUGGGCUUGGAGUAGCAUUUUGCAAGGUCGUGACAUACUCUUAAAAGAUGCUUGUUAUAGAGUGGGAUAUGGGUCUGAUAUCUUAGUCUGGAUUGAUCCAUGGAUAGCUAGAUUGCCUAACUUCAAGGCUGUGCCCUGUGAUAGUGCUAUCACAGAUAAAAAUCUUAAAGUUCAAGACCUUAUUUCCAACGAGACUUGGGAUUUACAACCCAUUUUAUCUACAGCUUCGACAAUCACCAUUAAUCAAAUUCAAAAAAUCUGAAUACCUUUGUAUCCCUCUUCAGAUGUGAUUGUUUGAACUGGAGCUAAUAAUGGAAAAUACAGUGCUAAACUUGGGUAUAAGUCAGAAUAUGACCGACACCACCUUGUGAUCAUGACUAAUCCUAGCUCUUCUAUUGAGUUCCCGAAGACUCUUUGGAGGAAUGUGUGAAAUCUAAAUAUUCAUCCUAAAGCUAAGCAUUUCAUGUGGAAAGCUCUAAGUGGAGUACUGGCAACACGGGAGGCUCUUUUCUCAAGGAAAUGUGCUGCUGACCUUCUUUGCCCUUUUUGCAAAUCUCGAUCAGAAUCUAUAGAACACAUGUUACUGCUUUGUGAUUGGUCUAGAAAAAUAUGGUAUGGCUCCCCUCUGACUUUAAUAAUUAAUCCCAUGCAUAUAUCCUCAUUUGCAAAUUGGUACGAUCUCUUCGUGGCUGAUGAUAGUCCAAUUACUGAUUAUGACAAAUCUUAUAUAGCUUGCCUAUGCUGGAAUAUUUGGAAAACCAGGUCUGUAUCAGUCUUUAAUGCAGCAGCUCCAAAUCCCAGCCAAGUUUUAAUAUCAACAGCUGCAGCAGUGAAUGAAUUCUGGAAGAUUAAUCACUCAUUACCAAAUAUUACUAGGUCCUCUGAGAUUUUCAACUCUGUCUGGAAGCCCCCAGAUUCUGGUAUUGUUAAAAUUAAUUGUGAUGGAGCAUUUUCAGAAGCUAAAAAAAUGGCAGCCAUUGGCAUCAUUGCUUGUGACAGCUCUGGGUCCUUUCUUAAAGGCUGGCGUAAGGUUGUUGAUGCUGAUUCUGGCUUUUUAUCUGAACUUUUGGCUUGCAAGAAAGAAGUACAAUUAGCCUCUGAAUUUAAUGAAGCAAGGUUAUUAUAGAGCUGGAUUGUCUUGAUCUCUUUCAAGCCUUGAUUCACAGGAAUAUUUCUUAUUUUCCUUGGCCUUGUCAUGGGUUGCUGGAAGAUUUAUUGACUAUCAUAAAGUCCUUGCAUUUUCUCUCCUUUUCGUUUGUCAAACGUGAAGGUAAUUCUGCUGCUGAUUGGAUGGCAGCCUCCACUUUAAAGGAUGUGGAUGCAAAUGGAUGGGUCUUCUGUCCACUACCUCCUCUUAUUUGUCUUCUCCUCAAGGACUUUGAUCGUUUUUAGUCUUCUUUCUAGCAUCCUGUGUUGAAUCGUGACAAAGAAGGAAUUGGUUGAUUUGUUGCAGCUUCUUUUGUUUUGUCUUAUUCUAGGUCUUUGCCAUUUUGGCUUUUGACUAUUAUGUUGCUUUCAUUAUUUCCAGUUUGUAAACUCUUAUGUUUCCUUUAAUGGAGAUUCUCUUUGGUAAAAUAAAAAAAAACAAGCUAAGAUGUCAACGUAA